GGCUCGGUGGCAUAGUGGUAACGCAUUCCGAAUUCCUACACAGGUGGUUUGUUCUCGGAAGGUAUGGAGUUCAAUUCUCCGUCGAGCCA